GAAUGAAGAAGGAUGAUUUUCCUGCCGUUGGAGACAGAAGGCUGGAGCCCCGGAAGCUGGCUGGGCUGUGAUACUGGAGUAGGAAGGGCCAGCAGGACACCCCAUCACAUCCCCACACUCCAGGACAGCUUCUGUCCGAGUCUGUCUCCAGCUGUGAAGUCAGCAGAGCAGCAGGAACAGGCCACCUUGACAUGCACACCAGCAUCAUUGUCCCCAGAAGAACCUCCUUGCACGUGAGCAGAUGAUUUGAAGACACUGGUGACCUUCACCCCUAAUUCUCCCCCAGGAGACUCUACCCUGCUGGAACCCAGAACGCAUCCCUUCCUCACAUGAUGCCCAUCUCUGGGUUUCCUGCGGGCUGACCAAAGAUCUGAGUCAUUCCAGACAGGACUUCCCUGGGCCUGUGUUCUCUGUACUUGGCAGAUCCCCAUUAGAGGCUCCUAGAAUUGUC